rnacentral:rRNA from 1 species
GAUGAACGCUGGCGGCAUGCUCAACACAUGCAAGUCGAACGGGAAGUGGUGUUUCCAGUGGCGAACGGGUGAGUAACGCGUAAGAACCUGCCCUUGGGAGGGGAACAACAACUGGAAACGGUUGCUAAUACCCCGUAGGCUGAGGAGCAAAAGGAGAAAUCCGCCCAAGGAGGGGCUCGCGCCUGAUUAGCUAGUUGGUGAGGUAAUAGCUUACCAAGGCGAUGAUCAGUAGCUGGUCCGAGAGGAUGAUCAGCCACACUGGGACUGAGACACGGCCCAGACUCCUACGGGAGGCAGCAGUGGGGAAUUUUCCGCAAUGGGCGAAAGCCUGACGGAGCAAUGCCGCGUGGAGGUGGAAGGCCUACGGGUCGUCAACUUCUUUUCUCGGAGAAGAAACAAUGACGGUAUCUGAGGAAUAAGCAUCGGCUAACUCUGUG